GACGAAGGGGGCGGGCGUUAUCCAUGAUGACUGGGCGUAAAGAGUCCGUAGGCAGCUUUUCUAGUUAGAAGUAAAAUCAAAAAGCUUAACUUUUUUGAGGCUUUUAAAACGUUAGAGCUUGGAGUUUGAAGGGAAAUAGUAGAAUUUCAUAUGGAGGGGUGAAAUCCGUAGAAUUAUGAAGGAAUACUAAUGGCGAAGGCGACUAUUUAUUUCAAUCUGACGCUGAGGGACGAAAGCAUGGGGAGCAAACAGG
rnacentral:rRNA from 1 species